ACACAUGCUCACUUCAGCAGCACAUAUACUAAAACUGGAACAAUUCAGAGAAGAUUAGCAUGGCCCCUAUGCAAGGCUGACAUGCAAAUUCAUGAAGUGUUCUAUAUUUUAAAAAAAAA